GCACAUGUGGUCUAACGGUUAUGAUUCAUGUUUCCCAUACUUGAGAACCCGGUUCGACUCCGGGCAUGCGCA
rnacentral:tRNA from 1 species